CGCAUGUAGCCAAAGCCAUAGCCCGAUACUCUGCUUUGGCACUUGACCGGGCCACCACAUCUCGCUUCUUACUUUUCCAAGAUAUAAGAUUCCCUCCAAUUAGAGAGCAAUACUCUGAAGAUUACCUUGUAUCUGAAAGAGAUCCUGCCCAAUCAGCAACAAAAUACCAAACAAUCUGUGCAUGUCCCCUAUCUUCAUAUAACAGAUCUUUUCCUGUAGUUCCUCUAAUAUACCUGGGAAUCCGAACUACUGCGCUCCAGUGACUAUCACAAGGGGUUUGUAGAAAUUGGCUGACCACACUUAUUGCGAAAGAGAUAUCUAGUCGUCUGAUUGUGAGGUAAUUUAACCUACCAACAAGUCUUUGAUAUUGGCUAGGAUCUUUCAAAGGAUCCCCCUAUCCAGGAAUAAGCUUAAUAUUUGGGUCCAUGGGAGUACCAACAAGUUUACAAUCUAAUAUGCCAGUUUCUUUCAAUAUAUUCAAUGCAUAUUUUCUUUUUGAAAUAGCAAUACCAUUGCUAGAUUGGGCAACCUUAAUGCCUAGGAAAUACUUUAGCUUUCCUAAAUCUUUGGUUUGGAAAUAAUUGGUCAAAUGCUGUUUCAAUUGGGCAACGCCCUCAUGAUCAUCACCUGUUAUGACAAUAUCAUUAACAUAAACUAUCAAAUAAAUACACUUGCUAUGAGAAGAAUAUCAAUAGAAAACUGAAUGGUCUGCUUCACUUUGAUGCAGCCCAAAUGUUGAAUAACAGUACUGAACCAAUCAAGCCAUGCUCUCGGGAAUUGUUUCAGAUCACAAAAAGACUAGUGCAGUCAAUACACCAAUCCAGACUUUCUUUGAGCGACGAACCCUAGUGGUUGCUCCAUAUAUACUUUUUCAACAAGUUCGCCAAGAAAGAACGCAUUUUUAAUGUCCAAUUGAUGAAGAGGCCAGUGAAACACAGUUGUCAUAGAGAUAAGAAGACGAAUAGAAGCAAUCUUUGCUACAGGAGAAAAAGUAUCACCAUAAUCAAGGCCAAAUAUCUAAGCAUAGCCUUCGGCAACCAUUUGAGCUUUGAGACGAUCAUUUUUCCCAUCUAGUCCUACCUUAACUGUAAAUACCUAACGAUAUCCAACUGUAUUUUUACCAUGUGGUAAGGGAACUAUCUCCCAAGUACCACUAUUAUGAAGAGCAGUCAUUUCCUCAAUCAUAGCCUGCCGCCAACCAUUAUGAGACAUUACUUCUGCCACAGUCUUUGGUAUUGGAACAAUGGAUAAAUUGGUAACAAAAGCAUGAUAUGAAGGUGACAAACCAUGAUAACUCAAGAAAUUAUAAAUGGGAUAAGGAUUGUGAGAGGAUCAAGUACCUUUUCGAAGGGCAAUAGGAAGGGUAGCUUCAUCUGUUAAGGGCUCGACCGGUGCAAGAGAUGGUGUUGGAGUAGGCAAUGAGUCACUGGAAGCAGUCUAUGGAUCUGUAUCAUAAGAAGAAACAUCAAUUGGGUUAGUAAGCAAAGGAAUUGAUUAAGGUCGUUUUGAGUAAACCUAAAGUGGAGAAAACUUUUGUUCAGGAAGAAUAGAAAUAGGAAGAGAUGUGGAAAUGGACGUUUGGUUAACUGUAUUUGCUGAAAAAUACAGAGAAGUCUAGAAAAAGGUUACAUCUGCUGAAACCAAAAAUUUAUCGGUAGUUGGAUCAUAGCAUUUGACCUUUUUUAAGACAAGAGUACCCUAGCAAAACGCAUUUGAUAGAUUUUAGUUGAAAUUCGUGUUUUCCUGGGGUGAGAUUGCGAACAAAAUUGGCAUAACCAAAUACACGCAACAGAAGAGGAAAUGGAUUUUGAUCUGCAUAAAGAAACUGAAUGAGGACUCUGAUGCUGCAAAAUGGAAGAGGGCAUUUUAUUAAUCAAAUAAUAAGCAGUAAGAACAACAUCCCCCCAAAACAUAGAGGAACAUUAUGGUGUAUGAGUAAGGUUCAGGCAACUUCAAUUAGAUGCUUAUUUUUCCGCUCGAUGGCCCCAUUUUGUUAAGGGAUAUAAGCACAGGAAGUUUGAUGAG
rnacentral:misc_RNA from 1 species